CCCGCAAGGGCAGUGGCAGAUGAGGUAGUAACACGUAGGUACGUACCCUGAAGUCGGGCAUAGCCAGUCGAAAGGCUGGGUAAUUCCCGAUAGUCUCGCAAGAGUAAAGGUUUUUCGCUUCAGGAGCGGCCUGCGUAAUAUCAGCUUGUUGGUAAGGUAAUGGCUUACCAAGGCUACGACGUUUAGGGGAGCUGAGAGGCUGACCCCCACCGAUGGGACUGAGAUACGGCCCAU
rnacentral:rRNA from 1 species